CUCUGCAACAUUAACCUACCUGACAACCGCAAUGUUCUGCAACAGGUUGGUGUAUAGACAGACAGACAAACAGAACAACUGGUACAUCAAAAGACAGACGGACAGGAGGAUCAAUUGGCAGACAGACAGCCUAUCGAACAGUCUGUUUGGUUGACAGAGAGGCUGUUAGAUAAAUAAGUUUAUAACUAUUUAACAUUUAAUAAUUUAAAUAUUUAACUGUUAAAUAAAUGUUAGAUAAAUCGAGAGACAUAUUGACAGAUGGACAGACAGAAAAGUUGAUAGAUAGAAAGACUGUUAGAUAGACAGACGGGUUGGUGGAUAGACCGAUAGAAGUUGGUAUAUAGACAGACAGCUUGGUUUGUAGACAGAAAGACAGACAGACUGGUAGAAAAAAAGAGACAGGUAGAAUGAUAGACAGACACCACUGGUAGAUAGAUAAAUAAAUAGAUAGAUAGACAGACAGACAGACAGAUAGAUAGAUAGAUAGACAGACAGAUAGAGAGAUAGAUAGAGAGAUAGAUAGAGAGAUAGAUAGAUAGAUAGAGUUGACAGAGAUACGGAUUUGUCAUUAUGUAGUUAUAAAAAGACAAAAGCAGGUGUGCUGCAGGUGAGUAAACACAGGUAAUGUAAUGAUAUAAAAUCAAUAAAUAGCAGCUAAUUCACCUCAGACAUGCUUUGUUCCGGGACAGAUAACUUUCUAGGUGUAAGUGAAAGAGAGCAAUUAAAGACACUCUCCAAGCCCCAUAACCACUAAAGUUCAUUUUAGUAGUUCUAGAACAUUUUCACAGCAAACAAACUUUUAAAGGACCAAUAUCGGCACCCAGACCACUUCAGCUCAAUUAAGUGGUCUGGGUGCCAGGUCCCUCUAGUUUCAACCCUGUCUGCUGUAAACAGAGAAACUGCUAUGUUUACACUGGGGUUAAUCCAGCCUCUAGUGGCUGUCUCACUGACAGCCACUGGAGGCCGCUUCCCCGAUUCUCACUGUGAAAAUCACAGUGAGAAGACGUUGACGUCCAUAGGAAAGCAUUAAGUAAUACUAUCCUAUGGGCGUUUUUAAUGCGUGUGUGGCUCUGGCCGCGCAUGCGCAUUUGGCUCCAACGGGUGGGGAGGGAGGGGACACCAGCGCUGAGGGAGCCCGGCGCUGGAUAAAGGUAAGUGGCUGAAGGGGUGUGAAUCUCUCUAGCCCAGCGGGAGGGGGGCCAUGAGGGUGGGGGAAACUAAGGACUAUAUAGUGCCAGGAAAACAAGUUUGUUUGCUAUUUUUUAAAUACUAUGUAUUUUCUUGCUUUCACUAUCUUUAUUUUGGGAAGCACGGAUUUCUCAUUAAUAUCGUCAAACAGUCUCUAAUUCCCAUCAUCCUGCCAUCCUGAAUAUACAAUCUUAAAAGAUCAUGGGCUGGAUUCUCUUAGCAGAGUAGGGGUUAACCCUGCUUAAAGGGAAACUAUAGUGUGAGAAAUAAAAAUCUGUAUUCCUAACACUAUAGUGCCCUCUGCCCUCACCUCCUCCCUCAUACGCCCCCUCCACUCCCGUGGCACAUAAAGGGUUAACAAAAAACCUUUUUUACCUUACCUGAUAACCCUCGGUGCUAGGUCACACUCCGCCUCAUCUGAUGUCAGCGGAUGGGGGGAGCGAUUGUACAUGCGUGAGGCAAUGCUUUCAUAUAGUGUUUUCUCUAAUGCCGGGUAUCUACAUGCAGAGCGUUAGGACAUCCAGCGUUGUUACAUGGAGUCCAACUCCAUAAAAAUUCAGCAAGCGCCUCUAGUGGCUGUCUGGUAGACAGCCACUAAAAGCAGUCUUAGUAUUGCAAAAUUGUACAGCGCUACAGAAUUUGCUAGCGCCAUAUAAAUAAUAGAAUAAUAAUAAUAAUGUAAAAUGUGAACAUUGCAGUUUCUCAAAAACUAAGGACUAAGCGUGACAUGGACACUGAAUCCAGACCACUUCAAUGAGAUGAAGUAGUCUGGGUGCCUAUAGUGUCCCUUUAAUGAAUAGCAAUUCAUCCACUGAGGUCUAUUGCCAUUUUGUAAGCGGAGUAAACCUUUGCACUUUUAAAUAGAUACUCCAAACACCAAAACCACUUUAUCUUGCUGAAGUGCUUUAUGUGUGAAGAAUGUGUCCUCUUUUUUCAUUUUACAAAAAGUACAGAUUUCAAUAGAAAUUGACACUUUUGUAAAUAAACCUUGUUACACCCCCAUGGCUGUCAAUGAGACACCCGAUCCUGUUACUUCCUGGUUUGGUUAGCUCAGUGGAGCCAAACUCAAGAGGCAGCAAUUGCCACGAGCCCCUGCCUUGCAAAGACUUCUCAUUGAGCUGCAUUGUUCCCAGUUGUCUGUGAUUCUUCAGACAAGAGAACCACAGCUUAGAAAGAUGUUCUUAGAUUUAUCCCAAAUGAAAAAAAUUAUAAAUACAUGUAUGUUUUAAUCUGAGGCAUAUCUACUGUAGACAUGUAUUUAUUUAUUUAUCUAUUUCUGUAUUUGAGCACUGGAGUGUAACUUUAAAUGGAUUAUUUGGGGUAUAUUUGCUAAAUAGCCUAUUUUUUUUGGGGGGGGGGGAUUGAGGGGGGGCAGAGUGUCCCAUUAAUAGAACCUCCUAGCUCAUGGUGUGUAAACAUUAAAUGAAAUGAAAGGCAUAAAAAAAAAAAAAAAUGUGAGAAAGAAGAAAAAAUGAGAAAUGGGUGAACACUAUUGCUAGAUUUCCUUGGUCUAGCUGUAGUGGUGAUGGUGCUUGGCGUCAUAGGCGUUCGCAGCCUAUUGCAUUAGGGUGUGCACCCUAAAGCACAAACACACGCCGCGUGUAUAUGUAUGUGUGUGUAUAUAUAUAUGUCCUGAUGAAAGUCCACGACGAUGGACUGAAACGUUGACCUCUUUGAACAACUGGAUUAAAAGGUUUUUUUUGAAAUUCUUUUAGUACAUUGAAAGUCCUUGAGUGCUGACUUUUUUUCUAAAACUAUACAUUUGUGCAGCCGAGCACCAGGCAAUUUAUAAGGAGAGCUGGAGUGCAACUCCUAUCAUUCUUUGUAUAUUUAUAUAUAUAUAUAUAUAUAUAUAUAUAUAUAUACAGGGACGUAUUAGCCGCGAGGCAAACAAGGCAUUUGCCUUGGGCGGUAUUUUCCAGGGGGCGGCAAAAAACGCCGCCCCCAAAUGCCCAGGGCACAUGCCUUGUUAGCCUUGCAGCUAACAGAUAUGCUGGGCGCUGUGCGGGUGGCUGGCGAGGGAGCACUUCCUCUCUGAUGUCAAAUUCCGGCUCCCAGCCUCACUCUGCGGCGCGCGAGGGAGCUGAGCAGACAGCUCAGAGGAAGUGCUCCCUCGCCAGCCGCACGCCCAGCAGUCAGCCCAUCAGCCUGACCAGCAGCCACUGGACCCCAGGGAGAAAGAAAAAAAAAACCAGCAUUCCCAAAGGUAAGGAGGCUGGGGGGCGGUUAAAUUAAAAAAAAAAGUGUUAGAGUGUGUGUGUGUUUGUGUCUGUGUGUCUGACUGUGUGUCUGUGUGUCUGUGUGUGUGUGUGUGUGUGUGUAUGGCUGUGUGUGUGUGUCUCACUGUGUGUGUGUCUGUCUGACUGUGUGUCUGUCUGUGUUUGUGUGUGUGUGUGUCUGACUCUGUGUGCAUGUGUGACUGUGUGUGUGUGUGUGUGUCUGACUGUGUGUCUGACUGUGUGUAUGUGUGUCUGACUGUGUGUGUGUGUGUGUCUGACUGUGUGUGUGUGUGUCUGACUGUGUGUGUGUGUGUGUGUCUGACUGUCUGACUGUGUGUGUGUCUGACUGUGUGUGUGUGUAUUUAGAAGGUGGGGUGGGGGGGAAGGGUUGGGUGGGGGUGGCGCGGUGGGAGGGGGGCCUCUGAGUUUUGUCCUGCCUAGGGCAGCACAAAACCAGGAUACACCACUGUAUAUAUAUAUAUACACAUACACACAUACAGUUGCCAGAAAAGUAUGUGAACCCUUUGGAAUGAUAUGGAUUUCUGCACAAAUUGGUCAUAAAAUGUGAUCUGAUCAUCAUCUAAGUCACAACAAUAGACAAUCACAGUCUGCUUAAACUAAUAACACACAAAGAAUGAAAUGUUGCCAUGUUUUUUAUUGAACACACCAUGUAAACAUUCACAGUGCAGGUGGAAAAAGUAUGUGAACCCCUAGACUAAUGACAUCUCCAAGAGCUAAUUGGAGUGAGAUGUCAGCCAACUGGAGUCCAAUCAAUGAGAUGAGAUUGGAGGUGUUGGUUACAGCUGCCCUGCCCUAUAAAAAACACACACCAGUUCUGGGUUUGCUUUACACAAGAAGCAUUGCCUGAUGUGAAUGAUGCCUCGCACAAAAGAGCUCUCAGAAGACCUAUGAUUAAGAAUUGUUGACUUGCAUAAAGCUGGAAAGGGUUAUAAAAGUAUCUCCAAAAGCCUUGCUGUUCAUCAGUCCACGGUAAGACAAAUUGUCUAUAAAUGGAGAAAAUUCAGCACUGCUGCUACUCUCCCUUGGAGUGGCCAUCCUGUAAAGAUGACUGCAAGAGCACAGCGCAGACUGCUCAAUGAGGUGAAGAAGAAUCCUAGAGUGUCACCUAAAGACUUACAAAAGUCACUGGCAAAUGCAUCCCUGUUAGCGAAUCUACAAUACGUAAAACACUAAACAAGAAUGGAUUUCAUGGGAGGAUACCACAGAGGAAGCCACUGCUGUCCAAACAAAACAUUGCUGCAUUUACAGUUUGUACAAGAGCACCUGGAUGUUCCACAGCAGUACUGGCAAAAUAUUCUGUGGACAGAUGAAACCAAAGUUGAGUUGUUUGGAAGAAACACAAAAAAAAGGCACAGCACACCAACAUCAAAACCUCAUCCAAACUGUGAAGUAAGGAAAAAUGAAUUCCCAAGUUUAUCAAGACAUUUUGCAGGAGGACUUAAGGCCAUCUGUCUACCAGCUGAAGCUCAACAGAAGAUGGGUGUUGCAACAGGACAAUGACCCAAAGCAUAGAAGUAAAUCAACAACAGAAUGGCUUAAACAGAAGAAAAUACACCUUCUGAAGUGGCCCAGUCAGAGUCCUGACCUCAACCCGAUUGAGAUGCUGUGGCAUGACCUCAAGAAAGCGAUUCACACCAGACAUCCCAAGAAUAUUGCUGAACUGAAACAGUUCUGUAAAGAGGAAUGGUCAAGAAUUACUCCUGACCGUUGUGCACGUCUGAUCUGCAACUACAGGAAACGUUUGGUUGAAGUUAUUGCUGCCAAAGGAGGUUCAACCAGUUAUUAAAUCCAAGGGUUCACAUACUUUUUCCACCUGCACUGUGAAUGCUUACAUGGUGUGUUCAAUAAAAACAUGGCAACAUUUCAUUAUUUGUGUGUUAUUAGUUUAAGCAGACUGUGAUUGUCUAUUGUUGUGACUUAGAUGAUGAUCAGAUCACAUUUUAUGACCAAUUUGUGCAGAAAUCCAUAUCAUUCCAAAGGGUUCACAUACUUUUUCUUGCAACUGUAUAUAUAUAUAUAUAUAUAUAUAUAUACACACACAUACAUACACUGUUGUGUGUGUGUGUGUGUGCUGCGUGAGGGUGGUUUGAGGGUGUUGUGUGUGUGUGUGUGUGUGUGUGUGUAAGGGUGCUGUGUGUGAGGGUGCUGUUAGUGUGAUGUGUGUGUGAGGGUGCUGUUUGUGUGCUGUGUGUGUGAGGGUGUUUGUGUGUGUACGUGUGUGUGUUUGUUAGGGUCCUGUUAGUGUGCUGUGUGUGUGAGGGUGCUGUGUGUGUAUUUGUGAGGGUGCUGUUUCUGUGCUGUGUGUGAGAGGGUCCUGUGUGUUUGAGGGUGCUGUAUGUGUGUGGGUGCUGUAUGUGUGCGUGUGCUGUGUGUGUGUGGGUGCUGUAUGUGUGUGUGUGCUGUGUGUGUGUGGGUGUUGUGUGUGUGGGUGCUGUGUGUGGGUUCUGUGUGUGUCUGGGUGCUGUAUGUGUGUGCUGUGUGUGUGCUGUAUGUGUGAAGGUGCUGUAUGUGGGUGCUGUGUGUGUGUGUGUGUGUCUGUGGAGUCCUCUCCUGUCUCCUUCCAUGCUGCAGUGGGGAGGGAGGCUGAGACCAGAGUGCGCUGGCUCUGCAUGAGCCGACAGGGGAGAUCCUGAGAUCUCCCCUGCUGGUCUCACUCCAUAGGCAUGCCGCGGGGAUUAGGGUGUGCCCCGGCACCCCCAGCACACCCCGUGCGCACGCCUAUGCGUGGCGUGUUCCUUUACGGAAAUUCUCUGUGGUUUCUUUGAGUAAUUCAGCCAUGAAGAGUUCCGUAGCAAUAAUAACAUUUUUAAAAGGUAUCAACGCUGCUCGCUAUGCAGAUAUCUGUUUGACGCCACUAGAUCGGCACAAAUAAAUGGGCGUCAGAAGGGUGCAGGGUUCACAGGACCUGAAAUGUGGGCACCCACUGCUCACAACUCUGCAUUAUUUACAAGUCUGAUUUUUUUCCCCCUUGUUUCUUCUCUUUUUACUUUUCAGACAAGACUUAGAUCACAUCCGCCAUGUUAUUUACAUCAGUCAUACGAUAGCCGGCUAUCUGCCGAUCUCCAUCUAAAGGAUCUUAUUUCCUACACUGAAUACAUCAUCCUCGUCAAAUCUGCAUCUCGACAAACAAAACCAGCGUAAAACUCGCUGUGAAAAUGGCAUUCCUUUAUUUCCUGGUGAGCCCAUGGGGGGAGACAAGAGACAAUUCCCUAACGUCCUAUAGAUGAGGAAGAGAGCCCACAAAGAGUUGAAAGAGCAUUCACUAAAUCCUCUUAAGCCAUGGGCAUGUAUAGCCAUUAUAUCCACUGCCCCAAGGGAUGCUGGGAGACUGUCAGCCUCGCUGGCCAGGCUGAGCAAAGGCCACACAAGGGAUUAAAAGAGAAUGGAAAAUGAGAGAAGGCUGGAUUGAUCAGUCCGUGAUGGGGACAUGGUAUAUCAAUAACCAAAGAGAUUCACCAGCAGCGAAAAGAGGGGGAUUUAGGCCCUUGGAGACAGGAGGACAGUGCAACAGCAAAUAUUAGUGAGGGUUUGGGACAAAUAGAGAAAC